rnacentral:rRNA from 1 species
AUGUUAGCAUUUGGUAUUGUAGCACUCUCUUUAGAUAGCAACAAUACAAUGGUCACUUCCUGUGUUAAUAAGCAAAUGAAAAAGAAACCAAUAUUUGUAUUUCAGUUGAGUGACACAUAUUUAUCGGGAAAAAAGCUGAGUGAUACAUACUCCCUCCGUAAAGAAAUAUAUGAGCGUUUAGAUCACCAAAGUAGUGAUCUAAAUACUCUUAUAUUUCUUUAUAGAGGGAGUACUUUACAGGAGUUGUGCUCUUACAGCAAUACCAUGUUAGCAUUAGGUAUUGUAGCCUCCGUCCCAAAAUAA